CCUACGGGAGACAGCAGUGGGGAAUAUUGCACAAUGGGGGAAACCCUGAUGCAGCGACGCCGCGUGAGUGAAGAAGUAUUUCGGUACGGAAAGCUCUAUCAGCAGGGAAGAAAAAAAGUCCUGUGGACUGUGGACGGUAACGGACCAAGAAGCCCAGGCUAACUACGUGCCAGCAGCCGCGGGAAUACGUAGGGGGCAAGCGUUAUCCGGAUUUACUGGGUGGAAAGGGAGCGUAGACGGCAGCGCAAGUCUGGAGUGAAAGGCCGGCGCCCAACCCCGGAACUGCUUUGGAAACUGUGCAGCUGGAGUGCAGCAGAGGUAAGCGGUAUUCCUCGUGUAGCGG
rnacentral:rRNA from 1 species